GGCGCCCCCCAGCCCGCCGCAGCCAGCGGAAGGACGCGGGGGCACGGCGGAGCGGCGCCGGGGGCCGAGCGGGGCGGGGUGCGCCCGGGAGCGGCUUAGCGCGGGGGUAAGUGAAAAGCCGGCAGCGAAAAUAACCCGGGAGAAGCCCGGCCUUGAACGCUAAUCCCGCUGCCGGCGUCCGCGCGGGGGUAACGUCGUUCCGCGGGGGCUAAUCCCGCUCGCACGGCGGGCCGCGUUCCCCCGCGCUGCCGGCACGAGUGAUGCUGAUGGGAGGUGGCACACAGGUGGCCCCCGCAGCGGGGCUGUGACAGGGCCCGUGCUGCCCGCAUGAAAGGCUCUGGAAAGCGUUCUGUAGAGCUUGUCCUGCCCCUGAGCGCUGUCGGUGCUCAGCGCAGCGGCAGAGCGAACUAGAACUCUUCGCUUUCGUUAUCAUUGUCUUUAUUAUUAUGAUUCCCCCUCUUUGCUAUAUUCAGGCCUUUUGUUCUCACCCAGGUAAGGGCUAGGGCGUGAUGGCUAACUCUUUGGAGCUGGCGCUGUAAGAAUAAUAGGUCUACCUAGAAAACAUGCAGGAGUGAUAUCAAGUGGUGACCCAAGAGAUGAAGAUGGAGGCAGUUUCAGUGUAGCACUGUGGCAAGUCCCAGCAAGCUCAAUGCAACGGUAAAACACAAUUUGCUCUUUGUAGUCCAUGUUGUUAUUAAUUGACGUGGUUUUCUGGGCUUACAGUGUGCAUUGAUUGCUUCUUUUUUUUUUUCCUUAACAACACAGCCAAGAUUAGUCGUGUUUCAGAGUUUGGGUUUGGAAAAAAAAAAACAGGAAAAAAAAAACUUCAAAAUAUCAUCUCAAUUAAAAUAUAUGUAUACAUGUAUUUCCAUUAAAUGCUUCCACAUUCAUAUAAGGUAAACUUGCCUCUUUGAUGACUAAAUUAUUUUAGGAAGAAAAUAUGUUCUGAUUGUCAUCUUCAGGGCAUUUUCAGUGACGUUUUAUGGCAGUCGUUUAAAAUAAAAUUCUUAGUCAUUCAGCAUUUUAACUGAAAGCUACGUGUUAUGCAAGCAGUUUGUCAAACCCAUUGAGCUACCUGCCUAGUAGUAACGCAGCAAUAAAUAAUGAUAGCAUUUAAGGCUGUUUUCAUCAUUAGUGCUGUCAGAUCUGAUUGAAAUAUUAUGAAUGUUAAGGUUAAAUAUAUGAAGGCAAUAAAUAUUGAUAUGAAGCGUGCUCAAGAGAGUUGUGUUUCCCAAGUGGAUCUGGGGGCAGACUUGUUAUGAUGAUGGCUACUGCCAGCUCAUUGCAUGGCAACAGUUGGAGGGUGGUGUUUGCAGAGCUGGGAGCCAGACAGGAGAUUCUGUGCUGUGGUGGAGUUGAACACAUGCAAUAGAAGAGACACCCUCUGAGCCAGGACCUCCCUCAGCACCCACCAGCUGAAGAUAACUGGGGGAAAGUGAAAGCUAUAUUGUGCUUUGCUAUCUUUGUGUUCACUUGAAUGCGUGCCCUCACUUCUUCUGUCUGAACCACUUGAACCCAUCAGUCACUGAGGGCGUGCAGGAGUGGAUCAUGCCACCAUGUGGUGCUUUAUCAAGGACCAGAUCUAUGGCCCAAGCAUCGCCAGGUCAGUUAUCCUUCAGCUUCCAGAAGGUUUUAUAGUACCUCAGCAAUAAGAAGAGCUUGUUCCUGUUCACCAUCAUUAUUUCAGUCAAGGCAGAGGCAGCUUUUGAACCCUGCAAUGUUCAUCUCUGGGUGGUUUGGGAUUGUUUUCUUGUUUUUUGAUUUUAUACCUCCCUGGCUGUGAAUGAAACCUCUUCAUCCCGGUUCAAAGCAUCCUCAUCACAAAAGGCCUAUCUGGUUGACCUUUGGACUGUAGAUGAUGCAGACGAGAGUGGAAAAUGGAGAUUAGCGUUCAGCAGUGCUUAGCCAGUUCCUCAUGUUCUUCCCUGUAACAAGAACCCCGAGUUCAGCAGAUGGACUUUCUACAUAGUGUAAUAGGAGAGAGAAGUACCAAAAAAAGGCAGAUACCUAAGACAUUUUGAAACUGGGCCAACUGGGCCACUGCGAGCCACUUCAUGACUUGGGACACUGAGACAGCAAGGCAGAGGCAUCCUCAGGGGGCUUAGUGCCAGUGAGGUUUCUUCUUGAACUGGGAAGAAAGGAUGGGAAAAUUUUUUCCUUUUAUAAGUGCUUUCUUCCUCUAAAGAUGCAGGUUCACAGCCUUUUUCCACUUGACCUGGAACAGAAUUUGACUGUAGCCUGUCUUUUUAUGAGAAAAAAAGGAGGAAAAAGAAAUAGGAAAGGCUUCUCUGAUCCUUUGAUCCAACCUUUCCCAUGUGGCAGAAAUAAGUAUUUAUGAAAGCAGGAGCCCCAGCCUUGGUUUUCCAGCUCCCACUGAUGAUCUGAAUCAAAGUAGUGGGAGGGGACCCUCUGUCUCAGGGCUGUUUUAUGUCUGUGAAGUAAAUGCAAAGAUUGCUCAGUGGAGGAGGCCAAGGAUCAUGAAACAUGCUGGCGUCAGGGCUUUGGUUGAGAUGGAGCUCAGCUCGAUGCUGGUGUGCAGGUGCUUGCAAAGUGUAAUGGAAAUGUAUUUCUCCAUGACAGGUCACAGUUAGCCAUGAAUUUUGAGGAUCAUGACUGUCAGCCUUGACUGAACCAGCCUGUGAUGGCAGGCAUUCAGCUUUUGAUGCUAGAAGCUAGAUUUUCUCUCUGACUAGUUCUUUCUCUUAAUAGGUGCCUAACUUAGAGCCUGUGAGUCUAACCUCUGGAUUUAGGUGUGAAUUCCUUUUCUCAGCUCCUUUUAAUUUCAGUAGAAGUGAGAAUUAACUGUGUUGGUUUGUGUGAAUUACUAUUUGGAAAUAGAAACACACAACUCAUCCCAGACCAAACCCACCAUAAAAUGCAGCACGUGUGGUGCCAAUAUGGUGCGUGCAGGGUGCUGCAAAGAAAGAACAAAUGUGCCCUGUGAAGCAUGUUGCUCAUUUUAUGUAAAGCACAAACAAUUUAUGGAAAUAGUAUUUCACUGAUUAUUCAAUGUCCAAUUAUUCAUAUCUAGAAUAAUUCCUGAAGUCGGAGAAAUAAAACACUGAAUGACUCCAUUUAGGAAAUCCUUUUGACUCAAGUGCUUUCCUUGAAACAGCAAAUAGCUGGAUGACCUCAAGCACAUAUUUAAUUGUGCCUUGUAAUAAAGUAAUAUAAUUAGCAAUUACUUUGGAAUGACUUUAAUAUACUUAACAGCUACUACGGAAAUGCAUUUAUUCAGGAGGCUUUGUUUUCUUUUGACUUCUGUUAGUACAAAAUAAACUCUUGUCUGAAUGGAGCUCAUACCUGAGUUCCCCAAAUUGUUCCUCAGGGCACACAGAGUGAGCAGGCUUUUUCCACAGCAGAUCUAUAACAGCUGUAGGGCUCUCUGUUAUAGAGGAUGAAACUAAGCUUGCAGGAGGGCAAAAAGGGCAACACAAAGCAUGCAGGUAGUGCGUUGGCUAGGCAUGCAGGCCAGCACUCCACUCUUCUUCUUCUUUUUUUUUUUUUUUCCUUUUUUUUCCCUCCUUUAUUUUUUUUUCCCCAGUACUACUCAGUAGCACCAGGUUUGGUGGUACUCACCCAUGUAUCAUUUCAUAGUGGUUCACGUUCUGCUGGCAACAGAAAUGUGGCACAGGUGGGCAGCUCUGUCUUAAAAAUAAUAGACUUGAACAGAAGGCUGUAUGUGCAUAUUUUCCUUACAAAUAAUUAAUGUUAAUUGGAAAGCUUUCAAAUAAAAAAUGAACUGUACAAAGGAAGCAAAAAGGAGAAGCAGACUAAGAUUUAAAAGGAGCAAUAGGACAGUGAUUGAAUGAAAAUACUGAUAUUCCCUUAAGUUUGGUGGCAGAGAAUAAAUCAGUAAAUUAACUUAUGUGUUGGAUACCAGAUUCAUAUAAUUCUGUUACCUCUGCUGAGAAAAAUAGCAGUCCCUGUUCAGAAGUUUCAGUCCACGGUGCAGGCAUAUCAUGUGGUUUGCAUAGGGACAACUAUGUGCUUAUUUUAUUUGUCUGCCAAUGCCAAAGAGCUCAGCUGUAUCCGAAAUCUGUUCCCUUGCUUUGCAUUCUGGUGUCUUCAUCUCUGACAUUGCCUGCUAUUCAGGCAACGCUAUACCAGACAUGUACAUCACCACAGAUGAAGCAGCUGAUAAAAUGUUGUAGUCUUUUUAGUGCAGCCCAUUUUGAUGUGCUCAGAAGGGCUUACUAGGCACUAGCACGUGGGCUUACCUGGGGAAGCAAUAGUGCUGUCGCUGGAGCACGUCACUGCACUAACCCUGUCCCAUUUUCCUCCAGUUCACUCAUCCCACAGGGAACCAAACCUGACAGCAUCAAGCAAGUGUAGAAAGCAACUCUGUUCCCAACGCUACACUUUUAUUUUCCUCUGCGCUUGCUAGGUCCCUUGAUCCCACAUCCCUCUCUAGUUACUCUAACCAUGGGAAUAAAGCCUGCCCCUGGGAUGGCUGAAGGCUUUUUCUAGGCUGUGGAAGGCAUCAUCAAGCCGUGUCUCUGCACGGUGCAGUUUAAAUCAGCUGUGCAGGGAGCAGAGCAAGGGCAGCAAAUUAUGUAAGAAAAAAAUCUUCAUCCUGGCACAGGCAUAUUCAGGAAAAGAAAUGUAACACAGCUAUCUCAUGUUCUGGUUCCAAAGAGAGACAAUUAGGAAUUUAACCCAGGCGUGGACAAUUCAAUUUCUGCUGCCUGGUUUUUAUAUGGUCCCUGGAAUGUGUUCUGGGGACCUGCUGGAGCCAAGCACACAGUUUGGCUCCAGGAUGUCACAGGAGCAGGGAAGUGGAAAGACACAUGUCCUGGUACCUUCAGCCCCUACUUAACACGUCUACUUUGCUUUCCACAGGUGUAACCCCCAUGAGGACCUCUCAUGGGCAAGGCAGGACCUGCACCAAAUGGAGUAAAUGCACUGACCAAACUUAUGGUCUGACCUAGGUGCUAAAAUGUUCUACUCAGAUAAAAAAAGAGAUCAAAUCACAUGCUGAAUUUGAAGCACCAGUGGCAUCACUAGUGUGAAGAGUCAAGCUUUCUGGUUCACUUGGUUUGGUUUGAUAUGCUUCGCCAUGCUCCCACCCCAUACACAUAAACAGGUAGUGGGAGAUGAAAGGAAAACUGCCAAAUUACAGUGAUCUCACCACACCUCCUAAUCCUCUAUUAAUUUCUUUCUUUUUCUGGAAGCUUGAGAGAUCUUUGUUGGUGCAAGAGGGAAACCCAUAGAAAUAGUUUGGUGUAUAUAGAACAGAUGGGGAAAGGAUAAUGCCCUAACCACAGAACAGCAUUUAACAUGUCUGGGAUAGUACUGAGUUGUGUAUGUUACUAGAAAAAUACAUGUUGAAGGUGUACUAUCAUUUUAAAACGCAUAUAUCUCAAAGUAUGGGUAUAGUUGGAUAUAGUAGUUAUUUCUGCAUCUUUGAUUCAGCAUUUAAGAGUUUUGCUGUACACAACACAACCUUGAAGACUGGGUGCAUACAAAUGUAAUUUCUGCCAAUGUUGACAUGAGAAUUUGCUGUUGUUUAUCCUGGCUUUACUAUGCUUAGAUAUUUAUGAGGUCUCUAUGGUAGAACUGUCGAACUUAAAUACCAGGUUGUCACUUGGUAUGUCAGAGCACCAUGGCAUGAUGACCACAGUGCUUUUUGUGGUCACAGUUUAUGUUAGUCAUUUGGUGCACUGGUGUCAUCAGCAUACCACAAAGGUAAAUUAGAUUAAAUUAUUUCUUACUCCAAGUCAUUUUAUAGUAUAGCUGUACAGUAUAAACCAUUUUCCUAAAGUUUCCUAUUCUGGCUAAACUGUGCAGAUAAAUCUCUCUUUGAGUGUUGACAAGAGGUUGGUGUAGAGAUGUCUACACCCCUGUGCUUUCCAGUGAUGUAUUGAAGCCUCUCUGCUCUCUCAUGGUGGUUUUCUUCAGAAUCUUUUAUAAAAGUUAUUUCUUUCAUUUUCUUUCAGUUCCAUUUUGCACCAAUCUGCUUCAUUUCAUGUGGCAACCCUAUCAGAUUGGAGAAGUCAAGCAUUUCUGGAUCACAUCAGAAUUGUAAUGGGAGAGAUACCAAAUAGGACUGAAGCAUGCAGAAAACAAGGAUGAAGAUUCAGCAGUAGCCUGCUUCCCUUCCAGUUGGUCCCACAGCAUUGCCCUUCUUGGCUGCUUCCUCCAUGACAGCAUCGUUCCACUCAGGCUACUAGGAAGAAGGCAGUAUCAGCUGUGAAUGACACAAGAACAACUGGGGAAGAGGAUGAGAAAACUGUGAAAGAAUUGCUGGGGGAGAUGCCUGGGGACAUUGGCAGUGUUUUGAGCCAGCUUCUGAAGAAAACCUGGAGAAGUCUUACUGGAGCUGAAGUUGCUGCAUGAAGGAUAGAGGGAAACAAGGGUGGAUCCUCUUCCCCACAGUGAUGCCAUGAUAAAGGAUGACCAAUAGCUGUAAGGAGAAAGAACAUAUAAGGGACAAGCCGAGAUAACACUUAGUAAGGGAUGGAAAAUGCCAGGCCUUCGUAUGGUCUACUGACUCCCUGGCCAAGAUGUGUCCUGCAGCUGAUGUAUAGCCCUAAGCAGGAAACAGCCAGGGCAUGCAUUUCAUGAGUGGGGUAUAUGAGGCGGUACUUCAUCUCCAGGCCUCAGUGGAGGACACAGAGCAGAGGCAAUAUCAUGAGGGGACGUAGCAGGCAUAGACAUGAUUUUUCAUCAUGCUUGUUUACAAUGCGGCAGCUCGACUGGACUUGCUUAUUUAUGUUGAACUGCACAGUGUGCAAGCACUCAGCAAAGAGGCAGGUAUCCAAAACCAAGGUGUUAGUACAGGCUGCAAAUCAAGAGCACGGUGAACUGAACAUGGUCACAAACAGGCUUUAAUAUUGCACUGCAGAACAGUAACUCCCACACUAAAUGAAGAAAAGGGUUAAAUUUGUAGACGGCUGGCUUUGCAUAGUCUGGCUAGGCCCACCACACUGAUAUUUAUAAACUCUCAGUGGAUGACUGAGAGCAGCUCCAGGCCUGCCGAGGGCAGACUAGCUCUCUAGCAACACACUGCAGGUGAAUUUAAGGGUGUGGUAAUUGAGCUGGGCUUGGGUCACCCAGUAGCAGUCUGAACCCAGCCAGCCAUGCUAGGCAUAGCUCUACACUCCUGAACAAAGUGUUCCAUUAGGCCUGCUGGAGCCUGGGCAGCCUCCACUAGUCAGGCUUUCUCUUUCUGAAUUUUAUGCAAUGAAAAGAAUGGGAUAGGCAGGGCGUGCAAGGAGGAUUUUGUUCACUUCCAUAAAGAAUCCAGACUACAGCUAAGCAUCUGGAAACAUGCUUCUUGGGAUUUCAGUGUUGCAUCUAAAAUGCUAUGUUAUGACAGGGAGCAGAAGAAAAAAGGAUCAGUGACUUUGCAGAUGAAUGACCAACGUACUAACAUGACAAAAUGAGCUCUUGGUUUGCCAUAAAUACAUUAUCUAAGCUUUCAAGGGUUGAUCAGUAAGAAUGCAAAAUCUCUUUCAAAGGAUGUAGAUGAGAAGGAGGGGUACUCAUCAGAAUUAAAGAACAGCUUUUGCUAGACUGGUGUUCCUGGCAGGUUACACCUGCUUCCCACUCUGUGCCUUGCUGCCACUCUGUCUGGAGCAACGUGCUUCUAACAAUAGCUGGUAGCUGCAAGGUACAGAGUGUGCUACGCAGCUCGUUUCCUCUUCCUCCUGCCUGAUUGUUAUUGCAGAGCUCCCAGCAAGAAGGGCUCUUUAAUGCCAUUAAGUCACAAGAAACUGUGGCUUUGAUAGUGAGGAUCUGAUUUAAUGCAAUACCAAGUCAAAGAAAAACAUUUAAAGAGAGAAGAUGCCUUUCUCUAAGUGCUUUGUACUGUAAAGCUUCUGUAUAUACACAUACACUCACAUGCUCACACAUCCUGGAGGAGGUGCGUGUCCAGAAGGGAAAUCCUGCCUGCACCGGAGUUCAUGACAAAUGUUCCCACUGACCUUGGCAGGGCAGAGUUUCAGCCACUGUCUGUGUAUGUGGGGGACGGUGUGGAAGUGUUCAGGCAUGAUAUGUCUGUAUUUACUUGCUGUGAAGGACUGUGGGAGCCUGAACAUACUAGCAAUGUACCAAAAUACAAAUGGAGAGUAAGAGGUUGUCCCCAGGACAAGGCCCAGGAGCGUUGCCAUGCCUUCCUGCACCACAUGUGGUCUCCUGCAGCUUUGUCUGUAUGCAGGUUGUGGGAGCACCCUAGGCAGUGACCUUACUCACCAUCAGAGUCUUGGUGGGGUCUUGGCUUGCUUGCUUGUUUUUGGCUUGGUGACUUUUUUGUGUGUGAUGCUUUCUUGUUUGUCUUUUUAACACAUAUUGGGGUUAGUCUAAAAAUUGCUCAACUGCCUUCAUUCUUCUGCUCUCAAAAUAGAUAGGACAGUUUUUGAGGGCCAAUUAGAAGGGCCAGCUGGCCCUUGAAUAACCAUAAUCCUGCAUUCAGUGAUUUCACUCUGCUUGAUUUUACCUUCAGAUAUGUUUUCAGUGUGGCAGAAGGACAAGAAACCUACUUCUACAAGUAAUUUAGUGGUUAUGCACUUCAAAACUCCCAUUUUAAUGCUGAUUGUAAUUCUAUUCCACUGUUUUUUUCUAAAAUCUGUUUUGAAUUUGUGCACCUCUAAGCAUCAUUCAGUGAUAUUAUAGGUGGAAACAUAAGAUCCAGUAUAAUGAACACGAAUCCUGUUUUCCUGGAGACCUUUUAUAGAUCUACUGAAGGUAAUUCAGAGACUCACAGUUUAAAGACCUGCUUUAAUUUGUGUAGCUGUAAUGUGCCAAACUUGAGUGGCUAAUUUCGUAUCAGUCACUGAAUGCAGUGGGCCAGCCACAUGACUUCCUUAAUUUAAAAUGUGUUUUGUAUUUAUGGGUUCCUCCUGUUUGUAACUAUCAUUUUGUAACAGCUGCCCUGUGGUACAGCAAGCACCACAAAGCAGAAUCCCUAUGUCUGAAAGGCACUUCCUUCCCCCUUCAUCUUGACAGCACACAUCUGAGCCAAGGUUCCUCUGUGCAGAACCGGGUUGGUCCCAAUACUGGGGCUCUCACUCCUGCUGGAAAGCACUGCACAUCCAUGACUGAGACCAGAUUUGGGGCAGUAUGCCAAGUUCUUUUGAGGAUUUGGGCCUGGCUGUAAAUGUCACAGCUGGUGGCUUCCCACUGUUGAAAAUCUGCUGCAAUAUUAUGGAUGAUGAGCAUUUGGAAAAUCUGGUGCUGAAGACCAGCAGUCAAUAGGGUGAUGUAAAGGAGAGUGGGACAAGGCCCAGAGCUGCAGCACAGGAAAGCAGGAAUACAUUCAAAGUCAUAGACAUUGUCUGUGCAGGAUUCCAAAUACCUGGCAAAACCAAAGCAAAACAUGAGCAUUACUAAAAAACAUCAGGUAGACCUAUUUCUGCGUAGCAAGUAUAAAACCUUGAAUUACUUCCAAAAAAGAUCUGAAUUACCAUUACCAGUGCUCCUGCAGAAGCACUCUGAACUAAGAGCUUGAAGCCAGAGACUUCCAGUUACACUGGAAAAAUGCAUUCUCACUCCCAUGCGGAGUGGUGGCUCCUUGGACAUGUUCCACGUUUCACUGGAAGAGCUGGCAAUAUCGUAAAUUCCAGAAGAAAAGCUGCUGAACUGCUUUAAGAUUAUUUUAAAGAUGUGUACAAACUACUUUCAGAAAAUUAUGAUCACUGUUUUUUUUUGUUGUUGUGAAUCUUCACGUUUACUCUUCCUUACAUACUAUUUACCUUCUCCCUUUGGAGCACCGUUGUAUAUGGAAACCUGCUCAGCACAACACAUAAACAGCUGUGGUAAGCAGUCUAUAAAGAUGUAAAGAGCAGUUGUUGUCACUGUACUAACAAAGCAGAUUUUAUCAAAUUUGCCUUCAAACCAGGCUCUCAGCUGCUCCCAAGCAUAUCGAGAUGACCCCUACAUGUGUUAGCAAUAUGCUACAAUGACAUACAUGUGUUCCUACGUAGCCUAUUCCAGCACAGGUUUCUUUGUUCACAAUCACAUUAUGCAUGUGUUUGUUAUUCAUGUUUCUGCUUCCACAACUUUCCUUUGAUGUAAGUACAAUACAACUUUUUCAUCGUUAUUUGAAACAGAAACGUCGGGACAAAAGGAGCAUCAAAUAUAGGAAGUACUGAGUUACAUUUUGCCAGUGGUUUAUACCUUUUCUGUAUGUUAAAGUCAUCAAUAACAUAUUUUCAGAAGAAAAAUGAAUGACUUGACUUUUGUUCAGACUACAGGCUUAGCGUAAAGGUCAGACUGUGAUGCCGUGACACAGUGACUGCUCAAAGUCUGCCGCAGAGAGUUUGUGUCAGGGGCAGGAGCAGAUUCACAUUGUCUUUAGCAGUGCCAGAGACAUUUUUUUCUGAAGAGAACAUUAGCUUUUAAGUCUCCUGCAAGUCCUCUGAAAAAUAAAUAUACAUCUUUGGAAAGUGACUGGAAAGAUGCUUACAUGAGAGCUGGAAAAGAUGCUCAAUAUCAAUCUGUACUUUCCUCUUUAAGUGUUUCUGAGCCACAUCUUCACCUGCAAUUAACUCACAUGGCGUAUGAAGAUACACUCCUCUGUGCUUAACCUUUAAACAAAAUUUCUCUGAUUAUUGGCCUUCAUUCCCAGUGUGACUGAGAAACGAGCAGGGCAGAUGGGAGCAGGCGUUCCCAGUUGAUGCUACAGAACAUUUCUGUGAUGAUUUAAAGCUGUGUUAAACAAUAGCUUGUUCACAUUCAAUUUCAGAGCAUCCCAAGAUGCUGUAUGAGGCAGGGAAGAGAACUGAAAUUGCUUUUGCGGAGAUGCUAGGCAUAAUUAAAGGCUCAUGUCUGGAUCUUACAGCUAACAAACUGCUGUACAACAAGGGAAGCGGCUCCCUAAGUAGUUUUUUUUACAAAACACUAAAUAUACUGUUGUAACAAUAAAACCUAACCAUCCAGCUGCCAGCACAUUGUGUGCGUGUGGCACUGUGGACAUCAUGUCCACCCCCUCCCCUCAAAUCCAUCCCCUUCUGCUGUUGGAAAAUAGCAAAAGUCCUACCAGGAGCUACUGAGAAGUUUAAUAAAAAUAAAUUGGAGCUGCUUAAUCCA